CCUAGGAAUGUUGCAUAAGAAACCAACAAAAACUCCCUUUGAUUACAAGUUGAAGCUCAAAAUAGAUGAACGAACUCCCUUACUGGAUUCAAUAAUUUACGUUAGGGCUGUAAAUUUAACCCACAAACCCAUCAACCUAACCCAACUCAGCCCAACUCGUUCAGAUGGGUUGGGUUUACAAUAAUAUAAGUUAUUAUGAGCUGGAUUUUCUUCAACCCAAUCAAGAUUAAACUCAUUUAAUUUUAACCCUCAAACAACCCAACCCAACCUAAUUUUUAAUUUUGAGCCCAAUUUUAAGCCUCCCUCUAAAUCUGAAGUUUGACCUACAUAGACAUAGACACCCAAAUGACCUCUCGACAAGGCGACUGGCGACUCCGAUCUGCUGAUUCGUAGCUCAUCUCUGAUCUGUCAAUGAUCCAUUCUCUGAUCCGUAGCUCAUCUCCGACUGUUGGCGGCAGCUUCUUCAAUCUAACGACUUACAAGCUCCAAAAGUAAGCUCCCUAGCCUCCAUUCUCUACGACGACAAUGACCUAGCUACUAUGACGACCCAGGUACUACCCACUACCCAGGGACCUCUUGUCCUCCUGACCCGGCUACCUCUGACGAAUUGAAGAUAAGACCCAACUCUGAAGACGGGACUAAUACCCAGCUGCGAUGAAGCGGCGACCCAUCGCUCGUCUCUUCUUCGAUCCAUCUCUCAUCUCUUCUCUGAUCUGUCAGAUGUCGCUCAUCUCCAUCUGAGAAAGGUAUUGCUAAUCUUUCUCUUCAGUGUUUCAAUUUCAGCAGUAGAUGAAUGUUGUUGUGACUAUCUUUCUCUUGCAUUACAGUAACAGGAAUUGCUUGGACUAGCAGUUGUGGAAAGAUACAAGUAGCAAUAUGAUUAGUUGUGUUGUUUUGAUAUCGUAAUGUAGUUGAGUUGAGACUUGAGAUGAUUUGACUAGUGAAUUUGAAUGCAUGAAUCUGGUCACCGGAUGAACAUUGAAUACUAGUUUACUUUGCUUCUCAGUUUGUUAUAAACCAAUUAGAAUGAAGGGGGUCCAAUUCACUUCUCUACUGUUUCCUACUAUUCGGUGAAGUGUCCUCAGCUUUUGUUUCUAUUUCAUUAGUAGUUCCUGAUUGAAUAAUGGCAUGAAUGAUGAUAGUACCUCAACAGCAAUAGAAUAUGCAAUAAUCAUAUGAUGAUCGUUCCUUGAUUGAAUGGGAUAGGGAAGUGAUCUAGCCUUGUGUUUCUAAUGCAUUCCUAACUACAAUUGUUUUGUCAAUCGUCAGCAUUUCGUUAUGAUACCAUUUCAUUGUUGCUCUAUUUCAAGAGCUUGGAAAUCCCUGAAAUCAUGAGCUCAAUGGCUGUAGGUUGGUCACUUCAUUGUGGAUGAGUGGUCGAAGAUGAAAUGCCUCAACCAAAUUGUCAAUAUUUCCUUCAAAUGUCAAGUUAGUUUGGGGGAAGUAAUUACCUUACAUUGUUCUUAUUCUCCAUGUUAAGCAGUAGCAGUAGCAGAGGCUAGCAGCUACUAAAGUUUGACAAUGAUCUUAGUAGCAAUAGUAGCAGACCAUAAUUAGCAUAUGUGCCUUUAUGUGCAGAUAUCAAGUGCAAAUAUAGUAGUUCAGGACGCAAAGACAGGAGGGGGAAGUGAAGGUGUGGCAGUAAUAUCAGGAGCAUCGGAUCAAAUCCAUAUAGCCAAAUGCCUUAUUCAUGGCUUCAUCCUAACAGACCGUGUUGCAGCUUGACUCAUACUAUAUUGUAAUCUUGGUCAAGGGUCACUCUGUCUCUGUAUUAUCUUGCAAGUAGCAUUAGCAAAAAGAUUCCUCCGCAUGAGGCUAUUAUUGUUUAUCGUUCUCUAUCGUCGUCUUUCGCCAUUUGAGACCUUCUCAGCUGACGAAUUAUGAUAUUGUGGAUUAGUGAAUCGAGCUUGGUUGAUUUGUUAUGUGUGUUGUUGUUUUUUAAUUAAUCUUUGAUUUGGUCCAACCCAUAAUAAAACCCGACUCAACCCACACCAACCCAUUGGAGUUGAGUUGGGUCAGAUUAAAAAAAAAAGGAUGGGCUGAGUUAACAAAACUUACAACCCAGUAAUCCCUAAACCCAACCUCAACCCUCUAAAACAUACCCCAACCCAACCCAUUUACACCCCUAGUUUACAUGCAAAUAGUUAGAAGGAUGUACUAUGUGACUAUUACUAGAGCAGACAUCAGUUACGCUGUACUUCAUCUGGCUCAAUUCCAGUCAAAACCCACUGAUGUUCAUAUUGUAGCAGUUUACAAGGUGGUACGUUAUUUGAGAAAUGCACCAGGACAAGGGCUUGUACUCAAGAUGGAAAAUUCCUUGCAGCUAACAGGUUAUUGCGACUCCGAUUGGGAAAGUUGUCCAGAUACCAGACGUUCCACUUCUGGUUACUACCUUUUUCUUGGAAGUUCAUUGAUUGUGUGGACGACAAAGAAGCAGAGUACAGUCUCUAGAUCAUCCUCUGAAGUAGAGUACAGAGCACUUGCACAAAUUUGUUGCGAGAUACAAUGGAUGAAGACACUGCUGCUUGAUUUGGGGGUUCAACAUGAAAAAGCGGUUGGAUUAUUCUGUGCCAAUCAAUCAGCAAUCCAUAUUGCUAAUAAUCCAGUUUUCCAUGAAAGAACUAAAACGUUGGAUGAUGUUAGAUUGUUGAUAUCGAAACACAAACAUAAACUUUAAGGUGAUUAGUAUGUACGAUGAUAAUGUUAGAAUAGUUGAAACAAAGUUCGUCAAGGCCAAUCCAUUAUUUGUCAAGAUUGAAAAGUUAUAGCCCUUUUAAUUAUUGGAUUAAGUAGAGUGCAUAUUAUGUAGUUUAUUUUUCUUAUUUUCGAAAGAAAAAAAAUAAGGGACAACUCAUAUUCAUUUUGAAAACAGGUGGCCCAUAUUUAAUAAAAAUAACGUAAGCAUCGGGUGCAUUGAAGACCUCGUAUAUAUAUAAUGUGUAUUAUAAUUUAUAAUAAUAAAUAAAAUUUAUUUGGGCUAAAGUGCCCAAGUGUUAUAAAACUCAAAAGUGUCAAAAUGCUUCAAUGCUUGGGAUUAAAGUGUCAAUGAUUCCAAUUUGAAUAAUUUUUAUUUCAAAAUUCUUAUCUUUUAAAGAUAGAUAUAAAAAGAUGAAUUUUGAUGAUAUUUUAAAACUUUAAAAACUACUCAAAACCCAAAUUUAACAUUUUAAUCUGGCAUUUUAAGUGGCACUCAUCAUUAAAACGGAAAUAUUUUUCAAAGUGCUAAAUUUAACUUAAAUUUGGCACUUUAACAUUUAUUAUUGGAGACAAAAAUAUAUUAAAAGACAGAAAUGAAAAUAUCACGUAACUAAACAUUGAAUUCUUUUGGUGGGACCAGAUGGUGCUUGAUUUGACAAAACUUGCACACUAAGGGAAAGGGAUCAAACUGGAGAGAAUCUGGGUUUAGAUCAACCUGGUCUAGUAUUUACGAGACAUUAAUAAUUAAUGUAUAAUUAUGUACAUAAAAAAAUAAAAAAUAUCCCCCGCAAUUCAAAAUGACAACAAACUAUAUUAAUUAAUAAUUAGCUGUCACGAACUAACUAGUGAUAAUUAAUAAUUACAGAAAAUAGAAGUUGUGAGUUGUGUGAAGAAAUAUACAAGAGAGCAGCAGAGAGAUACAUAUCAUUUGAAGUUGAACAGAAAGGUCAUGCAUGAGGCAGAAUCUUAUGAUCGAUCGAGUGGGCUUUUAUCCAUCCAUCCAUCCAUCCAAAUCCCCAAUGGAGUAUGAUGGGAGCAAAGCGCGUGGGCCCGUACGUGAAUCUAAUUAGAUAUCAUUCACUGGCAUGCAUGCGCUCCUCUCUCCAUCAUUCUUUCUUAAUAUUACCCCUUUGGCUUUUUCAUUCAUUCAAAGUGAAACCCACCUCCUACAUACUCCCUAUAAAUUAUAUAUGUUUUCAGUCUUGUAUGAUCACGAAUUUGUCAGGUUAUGGGUUGAGCGGGUCUUGAAUUUGUUGAGUUUUCAAUCUAAUCACAAUAAAAUUAGAAAACAUAAUAUAAUAACUUAUUUUUAUAUUUAACGGAAUUGAACUUUAAUAUUAAUCUGAGAAAUAAAAAAUUAGAAUUGAAAUUAAAAACUUUAAUUAGUGAGUCAACGGAAUUGAAACAGGAGGAGUUGGCUAGGUGGGAAAAUGAAAAAUUCCCCCGAUGGGAUGAAAGUUUAAAACCAAUAAAAUUGGAAAAAAGGCUAAUUUAGUUGUGUUAGUCUGAUCGCGGGUCCGUCGUGUUGCCGGCUUAUCGGUCGCGGAUUUAUCUGAUCGCGGAUUAAUUUGAUCACAUAUUGUUGACUUGCUAGUCAAUCGGAUCACAGAUCAGGUUGAAUCAAACGGGUUGGACGGCCUUUUGGGUUGGGGCCAACAUUUUUCCAGCUUUAAUUUUGGACAAGAUAUUCAAUUUGAGCUCACAUUUUCCAAUCAUAGUUCACGCAUGUAGGGUUAGUUCAAUUUCAAUAUGUUUGGUUUGUAUUAAAUUAAGGCGUACUUAUUCCGCUUUGUUCGAACGAGUAGGACAAAAGUAAUUCGGUUAUGAAGGACCGUAAGUAUCGAGAUGCGUUGUGGGGAGGAUUUUCGUGGAAAAAAUUAACCCUUUAUAAAAAAGUAGGAAUCAGUUUUUUUGUAGAGGUAUGAUGAUUAAGUGUUGUAAACGAAGAGCUGGGAACAAAGAAGUACAUGCCUAUGAAUUUUUAGAAGGCAGGAAAUGUGUAUAGUAUAGAUGAUGUUGGAUAAUGUUUGUCUCUUGUUAGAGGGUUGUGAGCUUUACUUAUAUAGGCAGAGUUAGAUGUUUAAACUCCGAUUUCCGCCAAGGUUAAUAGCUCCGAAUUGACGAAGUUCCCUAGAGCUGACCGAAAAUGACCAUGUCUCUCCAGUCUCCAUGUGAAAUACAAGUGUUGGUCUUUUUAGAAAAUUUGUUUUAAACUUUACGAAAGAAGUUGUAUGUAGUGAGAUCACUUUUGCAAUUUGGGAUAUGCAAAAUCUUUAGUUGGCUCCAACUAAACUUAUUUGCAUACCAACAAAAAGGAAUGCACUUUCAACGACAGACACACACACACAACAUAGAAUUAAUACAUAGAUGGUAGGUGUUGUUCAUGGAUGACCUAAAGUUAGCUAGUAAUCUCAUUAUGAAAUUUCCAUGAUUGUUGCUGUUCAUGCUCAUGCUUACCAUCAUUUCAUAUAACAACUUUCACUUUAUCAUUUGAGCAAAGAAAACAUAUUAAUUAGACUCAGGAAAAGCUUAGCUAGAUAUGUCAAUGAACUGCUAUCAUAUUCAUAUUCCUCAUACAUACUUGUACUUUUGGGCUGCACCCCCAUUCCACCUACUUCUCUAACUACUUUCCCUCUGAUAUGAAGUUUUCAGAACCUCAAUUGAUUAAUUAAACCCUUGAGAGCAAGAGAGAGAGAGAGGCAACAAGUCAGAUUUUUCCUCCCCUAACUUGUCAAGUAACCCCAAAAGAGUGUACAAAUUUGACUACUUGUUUAAGCUAUACUACUGAUUAUAACCGAUCACUCUAGCUAUUGGUCAACGUGGUAGAUCAAGCUUCUUCUGGCACUUGUUAGAAGGGGAAGAAGAAUUGGGAGGAGGAGAGUCGUCACAGAGGUGGUCAAAACUCCUCUUGAUGCCCAAACUAGCAGUACUGUUGAAAGAGUCGUGGUGUAUCAAUAAUCUGGCGGAGGAUGCUGUUGUCGGAGAAGAAGAAGAGGAAUUAGCAGAGGAAAUGGUAACGGGUGGGAUGUCGACAUUGUGAAGCGGAGGAGGGUUUUGCCACUGAGGCAGAGGUCCUGCUAACAUAAGCGUCUGAAGUAACGGCCCUGCUUCUUUCACCGCCUGCAACAGCUUCCCUUUCUCCGGCAGGUGUCUCUCCGCCGCUAAUUUCUCCACCACGUCUGUUGAGUACCCGCAUUGUUCGCUCUCCAUCGCAACCACCACCACUGCCUCCUCUGCCCCCAAGGGAGGCGCUGGCGGUGAUUCCUCUAGCUUGAGGCAGAGACUUGGUGGCGAUUCCUCCUGUACUUUGUGGUUGUUGAGAUGGAUGAGUUGCUGCUGGAGGAUGGAAUUGUCGAGCAUUAGCCUCUGGCAUUGAAUUCUGGCGUCAUUCCUCUCCUUGGUGGUCUUGGUGAGGAGCUGUUUGAGGUGAAGGAUUUCCAAUUCUCUGGUGGUCAAUUCUUCUCUUGUUGCCAGGACUGUGGUUUCCAACGCUGAUGUGUAGUGAACAUACUGUUUCAGCUCCUCUAUCACCUGCACAAUAUAAAUAUAACAUAUAUAAUGGAUCAUUUUGCAUGCCACUUAAAUAUAUACAAGUACUAAACAUGUUUAUUUAACACAUUAGUAUGUAGUUACCUCAUCUGGGUAGAAAGAUGUCCAGCCUAAAGGGCUGCAAUGCUCCUCCAUUAAUUGUUCUUCAGAUGGGAAAAAAAGAAGUCAAAGAACGAAGGGAAAGGAGAGGGUGGGGGGAGGGAGAAUUUAGGAAAAGGGUUUAUGUGCUUCUUUCUUAUAGAGAGAGUGGAGUACACUAUUUAAGUAAGAAAGAAGAGCUAGCAACUUCUUCUUCUUCUUCUACUCCUACUGCUUGCUGCUACUAUGAAUGAAUGAAUGAAUGGGAGGAGAAAAGAACUAAAAAGUAGCAGUUGUUUGAGUUGAAAAAAAUUGCAGAAAAGUCCAAAACAAAUUCGACAAAGGAGAGCUACCCAAUGGGAAAAAAAGAGAAAGAAAAGUUGGGGGAUGAAAGAAAUAAACAAAAAAA
rnacentral:lncRNA from 1 species